rnacentral:tRNA from 2 species
UCCCCGGUAGCUCAGUUGGUAGAGCAAUCGGCUGUUAACCGAUUUGUCGCUGGUUCGAGUCCGGCCCGGGGAGCCA